UGAAUGGAAAAACUCUGACCCUCUAGCUCCACUCCGGAGGCAAAUAAAUACUGAGAAGAAACAUUCCUUACUUCAGUACCCUGGGCCACAAGGAGUGAAAAUGAAGGUGACUGUGACUCCACAAGCUCUGAGGUACCACGUUGGACAAAGACGGCAACAAACACCUCUCGGUGGAGGAGUGUCAGGGUACGGUGUUACCACGAUUCUCAGAGGGUACGGAACGUUUUUGGUUUAUAUAGGACACUGUCGUGAUUUGACAGCAGCCCGGCACCCUUCCUACACCUGCUUCGGGAGGAAAUGAAUAAAUCGACCGAAUCUGAAAUCCUCCAUAUCUUAGAAAUGCCCUCUGGCUGAGAAGGAAAAACACCUUAGUUCGAGUGAGGAAGGCUGCACACAGCGGGAUGAAGCUAGAGGAGCAGCAGUGGCUGUGGGCGUAACAUCCCUCCCAGUUACUUCCCCAGUGGGCUCUGAACGUGGUGACUUCUAGAGAGCGGCACUUGGCAUAGGCACUCACUACCCCCUCCUUGCUGGUCUAUGCAGGCAGAUUAGUGUCACAGCUGUAACUGAGGCACAGAGCAAUAAACAGAGCAGAAGCAAUCUCCAUGGUGGCAAGAGGGGGCACUGGAGGUGACGACAAUGGAGAAGGAUCUUUCUUCUGACAAGUUUUAGACCUGACGAGGUGAUUGAAAGAUCCACAGAACCCUCUGCAGUCAUUCCACAGAAUGGCUGCGGAUGAUCUUUGCAAACAUCCUGAAAAUGUUCUGCUCCGGAAGAAGUCAGGAAUUGAUUCUGUUAAUUGUAGGAUUUUUGUUGGUAUGCUUUGUUAGAAAAGGAGACGAUAUUUCCACAAGUGUCACAAAGAAAUCAAUAGUGAGCUACAUAUUAUUGGUUUCUUCAGAACAGUGGAGAAUUUGCAGUAAAUCCCUCCAAAGUCUUUCAUCGGUACUGGCAGAGGUAUCUUCUUGGAACAAAGGUAUAAAUCAUGUGUUCAGACAGCUGAAGAACAUCAGAGACAUCACUCAUCCUGUUAUGCACACUCUGCUGUUCAAUAUGUCUUCAAGGAAUAUUGAAAGGAUUAAUACCCAGUGAGUAAUUUACGGUUUGUAAAGUAUUUUAAGCUCCUGAGGGGAAAAGUGGCAUAUAAAUGUGUAAUAAUUAUCGUCAACAUGAAAACGAUGUGGGAUACUGAUUUUGUUGACAGCGAAAGAGCAGAGGGAGAGCAAUAAGCCUGUACGACUGUAAAUUUCCUCUGCCUCCAGCUGGGAGUUAAGCUGUCUAACAUUUUACAAACCAAGUCCAUUUCACUCACAGUAGGACUGCCAGUGGGUGAUUGAUCGUACCCGCCAGCUGGCUAAUAUCAUAAUUAACAAAGUUGCUACCACGUCUGAGAAGUUUAAUCGAAAAAUUUGCCAGCCGAAUGAUGGCAUUGUCACCCAGAUCACAAGCGUUGCGGAGUCGAUUCUUGAGCUGGUUGAGCGGCAGAGCUGAGGAGACAAAAUGAGAAAUGCCGAACUCCUUCAACCAAAGUAUUCCUAAAAGACAAUAUGUAGAGAAUGGAUGGGAUUUUCUGCACCCUUAUAAAUAUUCAGUACUUCUUGAUGAAGAUUGAAAGCAGAUUAAAGCAUGUCUAGUGACCACUGGUAUAAUUAUUUCAAGCCAUACUGGAAAUAUGGCUUCCCUGUAUAGCAGAGGAAUAAUGCCCCGGAGGGUAAUAAUGAAGGAGUCAGUGAAGGAGGCCAGUGCCAUGAGGGUUAUCUCACAGCUCCAGAUGCUGGAUAAGUUGAAGGAGGCAGAAUCGUUUUUGGAUGACAUUCAGAAAGGCCUGAGUGAUUAUUUGGAGAAGAAAAGACUAUUCUUUCCAAGGUCUUUCUCCCCCUUCUCUGACCAAUGGUGCGAUCUGUGAAAUCCUUUCUGAGACAAAGAAUCCACUCUGAGCCCAACCACACCUAAGAAAUGCUUUGAAGGAAUUGCCAAGCUCACUUUUAAUCAUGAGAAAGAAAUUACCCACAUGGAGUCAGCAGAAAAUGAAAAAGUAGAGCUCGUGCUGUGAAUAAUUCCAGCAAGUGCCAAGGGGCUAGUUGAGAAAUGGCUUCAUGAGGUGAAUAUCCUUAGCUCUUACUUAGGGUUUAGUUACUGAAUAAUCAUUUUCUCUUUUAGGAGCUAUGAAUAUCAUACCUGUAUUUCCUAACUAAAGAGCUCUUAAAGCAUUUGUCAGGAUGGUGACAGAUUUAAUAUCGGCUCAUCAUCGUUGCUAUUUAAUACAACUGACUUUUGUUGGAAAGACUCAGGGUAAAUGACUGUUGAGAACUGUGUGUAUUUGUGUGCCUAUAUGUGUACAUGUCCGGUAUUUUAUGUCCCUGUGUAUAUAUAUGUAUCUUUGUUUUGUCUCUUCUUUGUAAUAAAAAUAGAUUUGUAGGACUGGCUAGCAAGUGGGUUUCCAGAUGUGGCCCAGGGGGAUUGAUUUGUGGCCCAAAAAAAAAAGGAAUAUGCUAUUUUAUGAUGAAUGGUUAAUCUGAAUUUUCAAUACAUGUUAAAGGAGAAAAGGGUGAUCCCACAUUGAUGAGAAUAACCUCUUCCCUUUGGGAACUGUGAUUCAAAUUAAACAUCAGUUUCAGUGUGAAAUUAGUUUGAUGGCCUCUCUUUUGUUUGCUUUAUUCAUCCUGUUGUGUCUGUGCUCAUUUAAAAUGAGUCCCCUUCUCUAAAUCCCAGUUUCCCUCUGCCCCAUCCCCAAGUUUUUACAUUCUAAUUUGUGUAUUUUUUUACUGUAAUUAUCAGACCUCAGAAUAAAUGGGUUUUUCCCCCUUCUUCUUCUAGAAACACUCACAUCUUUAAAUCAGUUUUGACUGAUAGGGGAUUCUUCCUAUAAUAUGACUUGCAUAUCUCCCAAAAUAAUACAUGCCCUUAAUCAAAAAUUGAACUGAGAGUUUUGUAACGAAGGCUGUUCUUUUAAGGGUUUUAUCGUUUUGUUUUAAAAGACUAUUUAGGUUGAACUUUGGCUCCCAAAGUGACUUUUGUCCCACACCAAGCUUAUGCAGGCCGAUUAAGAGCACCAAUUUUUUUUUUUAAAAGUUCUCUUGAAUCCCUAAUUUUUCACAAUCUCGUCUACAAGAUCACCAUGCCAACCGAGAGCAAAUCUUCUUUAUAUAAGCAUACACAUUGAAACAACUCAUCCAAGUUAGAAGAGGUUCAGCACUGAAUUUAUAGAAACCAAAGAUAUUAUUUUACCUGCUGUCCAGAAGGAAAAAAAAAAUGCAUUAUUUCCUAUGUCUAUUCAUUCCUGAUGCCACACUGCCUUUCUUCCAAAAACAAAACAAAAAGAAGUCCCUGGAAUUUCAGAACAGUGAUAGAUGUUUUACCAAUAUGGCCCGGCAUAUUAAGCCUGGUGAGAAAGGAGAAAGAAGACCGAAGGAAAAUCAAGAGGAAGGGACUAUUCUUUCACUCUCUUCAGAAGGAAAAUCAACAAUGGGUGCCUUAACUCUUUCCCACAUCAGAAAGAGAGGGAUUACGGGGACAGUCAGGGACUGAAAAGGUGGGGUUGGUGUGGAGCAGCUGUGUUUAUUUUAAUACAUCUCAUUUAACCCUCACCUCCAAACAAAUUGAAAGGUUUGGGAGUGCAUUAAUCUGGACCCAAUUAGCAUCUCUUUCUCCCUCAAAAGUGCAACACGAGAUUAAUGAAUAUAAACUAGACUUUCAGAUGCAGUCUUUAAAUCAUUUGCAUGUUUUAUGCAUGAUAAUUGAAUUUAUUUAUGCACUUCCUUUCAUUUAAUGACUUCUUGGUCUUUCCAAUGCGGUACACGUAAUCCAGGCCCCCUUCCAAACAGAAAGAGUGAUUUGAUAGUUGAGGCAGAUGAAAAUAACUUGGUUUGACCCUAUCGUGAUAGAUAAUAUGAAGAUAUUUCUGAUUUCUAAAGUCAAAUAAUACCCCAAAUUUAUCUACAAAUAUAGAAUUGGAUAUCGACAAUAUCUGGGAAGCAGUUUUGCACGACGGUAAAUUUGCAGACCAAGUUACUUUCAAAGGACCCCAAAAGGCAAAUUAUGGAAAUGGACUUUUCAGUGAUCCCAAAGAACUGUGUUUAGAAUUAUAGGGGUAGUGGUGGAAAUAAAGAAUGCCAACCUUUGUUGAACCUGAAUCUUCUCCCUGAGUUGAGGCAGAGUGGGAUUUUAUCAAUCCACAAAGGAAUGCUUCCGUGCACUGAGCUGUGAUGGGGGCGGAAGGGAGAAUAUCCUAUUCUCCCCCACGUUCCCAGUGUUGGAUGUGGUAGGAAGGAUGCGUGCCUUGGGGGGCAGGGGGACGGAUGGUAAAUGCUGGCCAUGAUUGUGCCACCAUUCUUCCUUUCCCCUUCCUUAAUCCCAGCAGGGCUCAAGGAGCCUAGAACAGGAGGGCAGUAUAGACAAUCUCUGCCUGAGUAGUGAUUCUCCAUUUGAAACAAAGCCGUUUCAAAUAAGAAAUCGAGAUGUUGGCAGAGGCAGCCUUGUGCCGCGCCAGGGCGUCUCAGACAGAAGAGUGGGGUCCGUUGGGUUGCGAGGCUGGAAAAUCAGAGUAGCAGAGGAUUCAAAGUCACCUUACUAUUUAGCCUUUUUAGUCUAGGAAAAGCACGAGCCUUAAAAACAGGGUCACGGUGCCCUUGGGCUUAGUGAUGGUGAGCCUUCUGCCUCACACACACACUGGCCCAGUAGCCGAGUGAUCUUUCGUGCCCUAGUGGUUAAAUCUGAUUUUUUCAAUUACACAGAGAUGGCUGAAUCCUUCCAGGGUGUAGUUGUUGAGCUUGUUCCUGUGAGAGGUGUAUGGGCUUGUUAGGAAGCUGUGUGGGGAAGAGGUGAAGGAAAGGAAAGUGGUAGACGCAAUUGUCUUCAGUUUAAUCUGUAUCAGUGAUUUGUCUGUCUCUUGUCUUUUCUGUGUGUUUCAAGAUGAAUGUCGAAGUGACUCUUUUUUCAUGUGAAAUUCUCUCUGGUGUCCCCCCCAUUUCAGUGAAUUAAAUGGUUGUGCGUGCUGAGUGUUUUCUGGUCUUCGUAGCUAGGAAUGUCUCUGAAGGAUAAAGUUCCGCUAAUUUGUGAUGUCACAAUUUCGGUGUGUUUCCUGUCACUUAAAUGUAGUUUAAAAUGUUCAGUAAUGUAGCAUGAAAUUAUUGGUUAGUUUUGAAAUGGUUGUGAAAUCAUGUGAAGAAAAUAAGUAUUGCAUCUGAUCAAGAUAAAUUCACUCUAGUGUUUUAUGGCUUUUUAUUCCUAUGUGAUAGUAAUAAAGUCUCAUGUAGGGAUGGAAGCCAUGAAAUACAUUGUGAAAAAUCAUCAACUAAGCUGGGGCCAUCAGGAUAGAAAACAUUAUAGUUGUGGAGCUAUUUAAAUGAUUGGAAAAUGAUCUAGUGCACAGCUUUGCUAACUUCCGUGCUUGGUUUUUCUUUAGUUUCUUCAUCCCUCACUCCUUUAUAGUUUGACAAUUAAGGAAAUUGGUUUAUGAAAGUUGAUUCAUCAUCUUAAUCACUGAUUACAUGAACAUUCAAAGCCCAAUCCUUUCUGUUUGUCAUACUUUUUUUUCAUUUGCAAUUAAUGAGUAUUUUAAUUAAGAAACACUAAACCAGAGAUUUAGUCAGUCUUAUAGGGAGCACUCUUGUGGAUUCAUUCUCAAAUUCACAUUAUUUCUGUUUAAAAUAAGAAACCAUCCCCCACCCCCAGCUUUUCCCCCUUUGGCCUAUAAUCCAAGUUUCUUUACUCCUGCAAAGGAAAUAAAAAGCAACAAAAAAAACCCUGUCCCAUUACUUAUCACCCCACCUACACCUAACUCCUAUCCCUUACCCCAUAGUCAAUAGGUCAAGACCUUCAAAUAGCCUAUUUGAUUCAAAUGGAGUUAUUUCCCUCAAACUGGGCAGAUCUCCUCUUGAAACUAGUCUAAAAGCAAGGGAGGGGAGUUGCACCUUUGAGAGCAGAAAGAGUCUUCAUGAGAAUAUUUCUAAGAGGACCACCAUCCCAUAUAUUGCUUUCCAACAUAGGCUUUCUUAGUUUUUUACCUUAUUUUGCUGAUUGGAGAAUUCUGGGAAUGUUUUCUUAUUAAGCAUUCAAUCAUAUUCCUUUUUACAGUUCUGUAUUUUUUCCAAUAAAAAUUAUUUCUGAUA